rnacentral:lncRNA from 1 species
ACCCCGUGAGGGGGUGGUGUUGCUGGCUUCUCAGUGACUCCGCAGUGGAAAGUCCCAGCCUCACAGCGCCCUGCCCCAGGGUCGGGAGCCAGCAGCCUUGGGAGAGGCAGGUUCCGACUUUGCUCUCCUCCGGAGAUGUCCCUUUCCCUUCCCAAGGAUACUGAGAUGCUGGAGCUGAGGAACGAUGGGGGAAAGUGUCCUUGCCAAAAGAGACGUGGACUUGGGGCUUUUAUUUCUGGAGCUGGCUGUCUAGCUCUCCUAAUGAGCGAAUAUGCUCUCUUUAAGGAAACAAACAAACAAAGCAAAAACACCAAUUCAUCUGGAUUUUAUUCAUUUGUUUUAAAUGCAAACAAACAAAAGGAGAGGGAGAAGUGGUUAUUUCUGCACCAACUAUUUCAAAUGCAAGUUACUCCAUUGCUCGGGGUGUUUGGAUGUGCUUGUCGCCAUAGGACCCACAGGGCUAGUUCCAACCGUUAUUCGUGCCUCAACCUGUCAUGGUGUUUUUUAAAUUUGCUAUUGAAUGUCACGUCCGUCAGGCACAUGGAUACUCGUGGGAUGAAGAAAUGGAGAUGCAUCAAGGUCACAUAAUUGCUGACAGACACAGCUAUUUAACAGUGGAGUCAAGACCAGAGGAGAGCACAUCUGGAGGGUAAACCAAGCUGGGGAGUUGGGGAGUCCCAUACCAAUCAACUGGUGCAGUGCUGGGCCCGAGGACUUCAGAGAGGAUAAGUCGUGGUUCCUGCUCUGGGGAGGCUCUCAUUGCUGCCGGGGGAGCAGCCACUCGAACAGCAUGAACCCGGCUCCAUGUGGC